GAACCGUCCAAACGUUAUUCGGAAUCACUGGGGCUUAAAGGGGUGCGUAGGCGGCUUGGCAAGUUGGGUGUGAAAUCCCUCGGCUCAACCGAGGGAACUGCGCUCAAAACUGCCAAGCUAGAGGAAGAUAGAGGUGAGCGGAACUAAUGGUGGAGCGGUGAAAUGCGUUGAUAUCAUUAGGAACACCUGUGGCGAAAGCGGCUCACUGGGUCUCUUCUGACGCUGAGGCACGAAAGCUAGGGUAGCGAACGGGAUUAGAUACCCCGGUAGUCCUAGCUGUAAACGAUGAGCACUAGGUUGGAGGCUCCUCCAUAGGCUUCCGACCGAAGCGAAAGUGUUAAGUGCUCCGCCUGGGGAGUAUGGUCGCAAAGGCUGA
rnacentral:rRNA from 1 species